rnacentral:misc_RNA from 1 species
GCAUCUUUAUCUGUCUCUCGUUAGGGAUGUCAAUGGCUAAAACUGAAGACAAACCAGCACAAGAGGCCAAACAGAAAGAAGAAAUAAAAGAGGAAUCUGAGGAAGAAGAAGAAGAGCAGACCUUUGAACAGCUUGGGCUUGACCCUCGUUUAAUUCGAGCUUUAAACAAGAAGGAAAUUAGUGUUACAAAGCCAACCCCAAUCCAGCGAGUCGCUAUUCCUCUAAUACUCGAAGGGAAGGAUGUGGUUGCCAGAGCAAAGACAGGCUCAGGGAAGACAUUGGCUUACUUGCUUCCUCUACUUCAAAAGUUGUUCGCAAGUUCUGGUUCCAGUAGAAAGCUUGCCCCAUCUGCAUUCAUUCUCGUCCCAAGUGGGGAAUUGUGUCAGCAGGUUCAUAAAGAGGUCUCAUCCCUUAUUGAUUCGUGUAAAGUUCAGUUGAAAGCUGUACAGUUGACGACCAAAAUGGGUGUUUCUGAUUUGCGUACUGCAUUGGCUGGACCUCCUGAUGUUAUUGUAACAACUCCUGCUUGUGUAGCUAAGUGCUUGUCAGCUGGUGCACUUCAAUCAUCAUCUAUAAAUGAUUCACUUGAAAUUCUUGUUCUUGACGAGGCAGAUCUUUUAUUGUCAUUUGGCUAUGAAGAUGAUCUAAAAGCUCUUACAGCUUUUGUCCCUAGACGUUGUCAAUGCCUUCUUAUGUCAGCUACAUCAAGCGCUGAUGUUGAUAAACUGAAGAAGCUCAUUCUACAUAAUCCAUACAUUUUGACUUUGCCAGAAGUGGAAGGUGUAAAGGAUGAAGCUAUCCCCAAAAAUGUUCAGCAGUUUUGGAUUUCAUGCAGUAAUCAGGACAAGUUACUCCACAUUCUUGCCCUUUUGAAGCUGGAGCUGGUUCAGAAAAAAGUUCUGAUAUUUACUAAUUCCAAACUUUUCCAAAAACAGCUUCAGCCUGAAACUCAUGUCAAUGGAAAAAUCUGCUGUUCUAAAUGCUGAGUUGCCACAGAAUUCUCGUCUUCACAUACUUGAGGAAUUCAAUGCGGGGCUUUUUGAUUAUUUAAUAGCAACUGAUGACAAUGAAACAAAAGAGAAGGAACAAGCUGGUGGGAGUCUUGCUGAGUCAAGAAAAUCUAAAAGACAUGCUAAGCAAAGAUUGGACUCUGAAUUUGGAGUCGUAAGGGGCAUUGACUUUAAAAAUGUACACACGGUUAUAAAUUAUGAUAUGCCUCUGAGUGCUGCGGGAUAUGUACACCGAAUUGGCCGUACUGGAAGAGGAUAUAGCACUGGUGCUUCUGUCUCUCUAGUUUCUACAGAUGAGAUGGCAAUUCUUGAAGAUAUAAAAUCCUUUUUAGGGGAUGAUGAGAGCAAGGAUUCAAACUUAAUUGCUCCUUUUCCUUUACUCACUAAGAAUGCAGUGGAGUCUUUACGAUAUAGAGCUGAGGAUACUGCAAAGAGUGUGACAAAGGUUGCUGUCAGGGAAGCACGAGCUCAGGAUUUGAGGAAUGAAAUACUCAAUUCUGAGAAGUUGAAGGCUCAUUUUAAAGCUAAUCCAAGGGACUUAGAUCUAUUGAAACAUGACAAGGUUCUGAGCAAGAAGCCCCCUGCUCCUCACCUACGUGAUGUGCCUGACUACCUGCUGGACCCAACAACUAAGGAAGCGAGCAAAAUGGUCAAACUUGCUAGAGCUGCAAUGGGAAACAAUAACUCCGCUCGCCGUCAGGGAUCCAGGAGCAAAUUUAAGCGAAGUAGAGACCCGCUAAAGUCUUUCUCUGUUGAGGCACCAAGGAGAGCUCUUAAAGGUCAGAGGGAUAGUGACAAUACUCAUAAACACAAAAGGAGAAGAGCCGUCUGAUUUAAUUUUUUUGGCCCUUGCAAUUUUGCAUGAGUUAUUUGUUACUUUAGAAUAUCCACUUUAUAUAUGAUUUAGAUAUAUUAAAUUGAGAAAAAAAAAGCAAUUUGAUCGUAUUUCAUCCGGAGUUGUGGCUAUCUAGUUGAUUAUGUCAUGCUCCUUCGGAGGCCUUUCUGCAGAUGAAAAUUGUAUGGAUACCACUUCAAAUGCCUUCUAUUUAAAGUAUAAAUUCUAUUUUCUAAAUUUAAUAUAUCUAAAUCAUAUAUAAAG